rnacentral:rRNA from 1 species
AGUGAACGCUGGCGGUAGGCCUAACACAUGCAAGUCAAACGGCAGCACAGUAAGAGCUUGCUCUUACGGGUGGCGAGUGGCGGACGGGUGAGGAAUACAUCGGAAUCUACUUUUUCGUGGGGGAUAACGUAGGGAAACUUACGCUAAUACCGCAUACGACCUACGGGUGAAAGCAGGGGAUCUUCGGACCUUGCGCGAUUGAAUGAGCCGAUGUCGGAUUAGCUAGUUGGCGGGGUAAAGGCCCACCAAGGCGACGAUCCGUAGCUGGUCUGAGAGGAUGAUAGCCACACUGGAACUGAGACACGGUCCAGACUCCUACGGGAGGCAGCAGUGGGGAAUAUUGGACAAUGGGCGCAAGCCUGAUCCAGCCAUACCGCGUGGGUGAAGAAGGCCUUCGGGUUGUAAAGCCCUUUUGUUGGGAAAGAAAAGCAGCAGGUUAAUACCACGCUGUUCUGACGGUACCCAAAGAAUAAGCACCGGCUAACUUCGUG